rnacentral:rRNA from 1 species
AUGUCUGGAGCUGAUCCGCCGCGGCGCCCUGGAGGCCGGAUCUCUCAACCUGCGCGAUUCCUCCUCCUGGUCCCAGCAGCUCCUCGACGCCGCCUUGCUUCUUUCAUGGUCUUAAAUUACUGUGGUUUUUUUUCUUCUGUGGCCAUGAGCGGGCGUGAGACUUAUAAGGCAGCGUCGCAGCCAAGAAGACAAUGGUGGGAGGUAGAUGGGCAUGGCUUCUGUUCGUCAUGCAUUUGGUUCAGGAAGAAGAAGGUGGUGCACAAGAUGGCGACGAGUGUAACUGCCUUGAGGCUUUUCUGA